rnacentral:rRNA from 1 species
GACAGAGGCCUCAAGCGUUAGGCGGAAUCACUGGGCUUAAAGCGUGUGUAGGCGGAUCGUUAAGUGUCUUGUGAAAUCCCACGGCUCACCCGUGGAACUGCUGGGCAUACUGGCGAUCUUGGGCCAACUAGGGGCAACUGGAUCAAGCGGUGGAGCGGUGAAAUGCGUAGAUAUCGCUUGGAACGCCAACGGUGAAAACAGGUUGCUGGGGUUGUGCCGACGCUGAGACACGAAAGCCAGGGGAGCAAACGGG